UACGUAGGGUGCGAGCGUUGUCCGGAAUUACUGGGCGUAAAGAGCUCGUAGGUGGUUUGUCGCGUUGUUCGUGAAAACUCACAGCUUAACUGUGGGCGUGCGGGCGAUACGGGCAGACUGGAGUACUGCAGGGGAGACUGGAAUUCCUGGUGUAGCGGUGGAAUGCGCAGAUAUCGGGAGGAACACCAGUGGCGAAGGCGGCCGGGUGGGGGUGACCUGACGCUGAGGCGCGAAAGCGUGGGGAGCGAACCGG
rnacentral:rRNA from 1 species